rnacentral:lncRNA from 1 species
UUCCAAUCAAGGGAGCCGAUGCACAUGAUAAGGGUGUGCAGAGUAGAAGGAGGGUGUUGCGGUGGUGGUAAUGUGACCGGGGGGAGGGGGGUUGGCUUGGCAGCAGGAGGAGUUGAUGAAGAAACGUUGAGGAUGGGUGCGUUGAAGAAGUGUAGAUAAUGGUGGAAGAAAGAGAAAAAUGUGGAGAUAGUUAAUGGUGAGAGAAAUAGGAAGAGAGAGAAAAAAGUGUCAGGAAGUGCAGAAGAGAGAGAAGUAAAGUACAGUCAAGUUAACGUCGUUUCUACCUAUUUAACGGAAGGGACCUAAUAACAGCAAAAUUAAUAAUCUAGGAACCAAAUAACAUCAUUUUUAAAAGCGGGUACAAAAUAGAAAUCCAGCCCCCAACUUGGGGACUAAAAGGGUAAUUAAGCCUUAAAAUUAACAUUAAUUUAUAUUUUACAAGGUUAAAUUUAAUUAAAAUUGUACUAUAUGAAGUAUACCGAUCGAAAUUAAUUGUCAUUUAUAGACAAUUAACAGGUAUUAAUAGGUUAGAUUGCCUUACUCUUUACAAAAUAUACGGUAUUGAUGAUUGAUUAUUGGGUUUGAUUGCCUAAAAAUAUACAACAUUAAUGGUUAAUAUACCGUAGGCCCUAUAAAUAUACAAUUAAGGUAUAGGUACAAUCAUCCUCUUCUAUCCUAAUAAAAUAUAGACCUCUUUAUGAAACAUAUCUUGAGCAUCAAAGUGUCUUCUGCAUGUCAACAACCCAUCGGAAUGGAUGACAUUCUCGGAAAGGAUUGAAGAUCAAAAGAGAACAAAGCAAAGAAGGAUGACUG